rnacentral:rRNA from 1 species
UACGUAGGGGGCAAGCGUUGUCCGGAAUCAUUGGGCGUAAAGCGCGUGUAGGCGGCCCACUAAGUCCGCUCUGAAAGCCCGGGGCUCAACCCCGGGAGGCGGGUGGAUACUGGUGGGCUCGAGUCCGGAAGAGGUCAGUGGAAUUCCCGGUGUAGCGGUGAAAUGCGCAGAUAUCGGGAGGAACACCAAUGGCGAAGGCAGCACUCUGGGACGUGACUGACGCUGAGACGCGAAAGCGUGGGGAGCAAACAGGG